GAUAAACGCUAGCGGCAGGCCUAUCACAUGCAAGUCGAGGGGCAGCAUAAGUAGUAGCAAUACUACUGGUGGCGACCGGCGCACGGGUGCGUAACGCGUAUGCAACCUACCGUAAACAGGGGGAUAAUCCGAAGAAAUUUGGUCUAAUACCCCAUAACAUAUAUCUCGGCAUCGAGAUAUAUUGAAAAUUUUUAAUGGUUUACGAUGGGCAUGCGUUGUAUUAGUUUGUUGGUGAGGUAACGGCUCACCAAGACUACGAUACAUAGGGGGACUGAGAGGUUAACCCCCCACACUGGUACUGAGACACGGACCAGACUCCUACGGGAGGCAGCAGUGAGGAAUAGUGGUCAAUGGAAGAGAUUCUGAACCAGCCAUGCCGCGUGCAGGAUGACGGCUCUAUGAGUUGUAAACUGCUUUUGUACAAGGGUAAUUCACGGUACGUGUACUGUGUUGAAAGUAUUGUACGAAUAAGGAUCGGCUAACUCCGUGCCAGCAGCCGCUGUAACAC
rnacentral:rRNA from 1 species